rnacentral:rRNA from 1 species
GAUGAACGCUGGCGGCGUGCCUAAUACAUGCAAGUCGAGCGAACAGACGAGGAGCUUGCUCCUCUGACGUUAGCGGCGGACGGGUGAGUAACACGUGGAUAACCUACCUAUAAGACUGGGAUAACUUCGGGAAACCGGAGCUAAUACCGGAUAAUAUAUUGAACCGCAUGGUUCAAUAGUGAAGGACGGUUUUGCUGUCACUUAUAGAUGGAUCCGCGCCGCAUUAGCUAGUUGGUAAGGUAACGGCUUACCAAGGCAACGAUGCGUAGCCGACCUGAGAGGGUGAUCGGCCACACUGGAACUGAGACACGGUCCAGACUCCUACGGGAGGCAGCAGUAGGGAAUCUUCCGCAAUGGGCGAAAGCCUGACGGAGCAACGCCGCGUGAGUGAUGAAGGUCUUCGGAUCGUAAAACUCUGUUAUUAGGGAAGAACAAAUGUGUAAGUAACUAUGCACGUCUUGACGGUACCUAAUCAGAAAGCCACGGCUAACUACGUA